rnacentral:lncRNA from 1 species
AUGCUCCAGUUCUUGUCCAACAUCCCCAGCUAUGAGCCCCAGGAGACAGACAGCCUCAGCCAGGUGGAGACAAAGCUGAAGAACCAGAAGAAUCUGCUAGAUGAGAUAGCGAACAGGGGACAGGAAGUCCAGAAGGUCUAUGCCAAUUCCCAGCAGUACCAGCAAGCUGUAAAGGACUAUGAGUUGGAAGCAGAGAAACUCAGGUCCCUUCUUGACCUGGAGAAUGGAAGGAACAGUCACAUGAGCAAAAGAGCCAGACUGCAGUCUCCUGCUGGCAAAGUGAAGGAAGAGGUGGGCUCUGCAUGCUGGGCUGUCCAGAGUGGAGGUGGGGGGUGGGCUGCCUGGCUCUUCAGGGUGCUACAUAUAGCCGUCACUGCGCACACACAACCGGGAAAUUAGACAGGCAAGAGACCUCCCCAGUGUGGAUGG